AUGGCUCAGGAUGAACGCUGGCGGCGUGCCUAACACAUGCAAGUCGACGAAGCACUGUCGAAUGAGGAUUCGUCUGAAUUUGGCUUUGACUUAGUGGCGGACGGGUGAGUAAUGCGUGAGCAACCUGCCUUUCAGAGGGGGACAACAGUUGGAAACGACUGCUAAUACCGCAUGACAUAUUGAGAUCGCAUGGUUUUAAUAUUAAAGAUUUAUCGCUGAAAGAUGGGCUCACGUCUGAUUAGUUAGUUGGCGGGGUAACGGCCCACCAAGACUACGAUCAGUAGCCGGUCUGAGAGGAUGAACGGCCACAUUGGGACUGAGAUACGGCCCAGACUCCUACGGGAGGCAGCAGUGGGGAAUAUUGGGCAAUGGGCGAAAGCCUGACCCAGCAAUGCCGCGUGAAGGAAGAAGGCCUUCGGGUUGUAAACUUCUUUUAUCAGGGACGAAGGAUGUGACGGUACCUGAUGAAUAAGCUCCGGCUAACUACGUG
rnacentral:rRNA from 1 species